AGAGUUUGAUCCUGGCUCAGGACGAACGCUGGCGGCGUGCUUAACACAUGCAAGUCGAACGAUGAAGCCCUUCGGGGUGGAUUAGUGGCGAACGGGUGAGUAACACGUGGUCAAUCUGCCCUGCACUCUGGGACAAGCCCUGGAAACGGGGUCUAAUACCGGAUAUGAGUCUCCUCCGCAUGGUGGAGGCUGUAAAGCUC
rnacentral:rRNA from 1 species